UACAGAGGUCCCAAGCGUUGUUCGGAUUCACUGGGCGUAAAGGGUGCGUAGGUGGUUGGGUAAGUCUGAUGUGAAAUCUCCGGGCUCAACCCGGAAAUGGCAUUGGAUACUAUUCGGCUAGAGGUUUGGAGGGGGGACGUGGAAUUCUCGGUGUAGCAGUGAAAUGCGUAGAUAUCGAGAGGAACACCAGUGGCGAAGGCGAGUCCCUGGACAACACCUGACACUGAGGCACGAAAGCUAGGGGAGCAAACAGG
rnacentral:rRNA from 1 species